UACGUAGGGUGCGAGCGUUAAUCGGAAUUACUGGGCGUAAAGCGUGCGCAGGCGGUUUUGUAAGCCAGAUGUGAAAGCCCCGGGCUUAACCUGGGAAUGGCAUUUGGGACUGCAAGGCUGGAGUGUGGCAGAGGAGACUGGAAUUCCUGGUGUAGCAGUGAAAUGCGUAGAUAUCAGGAGGAAUACCGAUGGCGAAGGCAGGUCUCUGGGCCGAUACUGACGCUGAGGAGCGAAAGCGUGGGGAGCGAACAGG
rnacentral:rRNA from 1 species